GACGAACGCUGGCGGCGUGCUUAACACAUGCAAGUCGAACGGAAAGGCCCUGCUUGCUUGGUGCUCGAGUGGCGAACGGGUGAGUAACACGUGGGUGAUCUGCCCCCUACUUUUGGAUAAGCCUUGGAAACGGGGUCUAAUACUUGAUAGGACCAUCCUGUAGGUGGUGUGGUGGAAAGAUUAGUUUCGGUAGGGGGUGGGCUCGCGGCCUAUCGGCUUGUGGGUGGAGUAAUGGCAUACUCCGGCGUCGGCGGAUAUCCGUCCCUGGAGGGUGGACGUCGACAUUGGGCCUGCGCGACGGCCCAGAGUCCUACGUGGGGCAGCAGUGGGGAAUAUUGCCCAGUGGGAGCACGCCUGAUGCGGCGGCGCCGCGUUGGGGAUGACGGCCUUCGGGUUGUAAACUCCUUUCGGCCAUGACGAAGCCCUUGUGGUGGUGGUAGUAGUAGAAGCAGCACCUAAUUACGAC
rnacentral:rRNA from 1 species